UCUCUCGUCGUAUAACGGAUUAAUUACACACACACCUGAUAUAUGAGCACAUUCUAGCUUUCCUGUUCUGUGUGGGAUCUGGGUUCGAAUCCCAGCGGGAGGA